GGUGCCGGCCUGCGUGACGGCGGGGGGCGUUUGGGUGGGUUCACACGCGUGGCCCCCACACGGCACCCCGCCGUGACCUGCCUCCCUGGGGAGGGGCCGUGACUUGUGCAGGUCGGUAGAGACGCAGCCUGCCGCGUGCCCUCUGUCAGGCUGCUCUGGCUCCGGGUAAGCCUCGCAGGGCCAUCCCUGUGUUGUAUCCACUCAGGAUUUGUUCUUUUAUUUUCCGUUGCAUAAACACACCGACUUGCCUGGGUGGCUCCAUCGGUGAAGUGUCUGCCUUCUGCUCGGGUCAUGAUCCCAGGGUCCUGGUGUCCAGCCCCUGCUCAGUGGGGAGUCUGCUUCUCCCUCUCCUCCUGGCUCAUGCUCUCUCCUGUGCACUCUGUGUCUCUCUCAAAAAAGUAAAAGCUUAAAAAUAAAUAAAUAUGUCGAUUUCUUGAUCCAUCCUCCGACCGGUGAGCGUGAGCACGGUGUUCAGGUUGGGCCCGUUAGGAAUACAGCCACUGUGUGCGAGUCUUCAUACAGGCGUGUUUCAUUUCUCGAUUUCUCCGGGAGCAGAGGUAUCCCCAGGUCGUGCAGGGGCCGGUGGUCUAACGUGGUAAGAAAUUAUCACACUUUCCAAAGUGUAACACACACUCCCUCUGCCUCUCGGCCCCUGACCCUCCACCCCCUUCUCUGCCGUGGCCCUGGAGUCAGACACCCCCCCUUCCCCAGCAGGUGCGGUGCCAGGCCCUGCUGGCAGAGGGCCCCGGAGGGACUGAAGAGGAGGGGGCCGCUGGGGCGCAGGGGGCUUCCCCGCGCCACUCUCCAGGAACGGAUUCCAUCCAGCUCACGGACCCCAGCCUGCGCACCUCCGGCCGCCCAGCGCCGCCGCACACCCGCUCCCCAGAUCUCUGAGCCUCGUCGUGGGGUGGCAGAGGGGCUGCCACAUUCCUUCCUGGGGUCCAGUCCUCUGCCUGUGUUCACUGGGACUCCAUUCACCCUGGCGGUAGCCAGUCCUCUUUGUCGGCCGCUCUGCAGGCAGCAGUUUGCCCGGUGAGUGUCUGUGCAGGUCUCAUGGACCCUUUGGCGGCCUCGUUUGUGUUUUUUUUACUGAGUUG
rnacentral:lncRNA from 12 species